rnacentral:lncRNA from 1 species
AAAUAAAUCCAUGUUGUUUGGCAGCCAAUGCCUUCAUCAGAGAAGGUUAACAAAGAGUCAACAUCAGCCCUAACAUUUGAUGAACUUUAGGUUAAUACACAUUUGAUGAAAACAUGUGUAGAACCAUCUGAGAAACAUUACACUCAAUCUAGUUAAAAUUCAAUUUCUGCACUUGCGACAUAUAAACAACGAGGAGCAAGUGCGGAGAUUUAAUUUUAAUUAGAUUGCAUUACACCCUAUUGUACAUACACAUGUUGGAAAUCUUAGUUUUGACUAAAUCUUGGAAAACUUCUGAUAGUUUUGGCUGUAGUUGACAUUGGUCACAUGCAUGGAUCAACAUUAAUUUUUGUUAGGAUGUGACAGUGUAACUCACACAAAUUUAUUUCUAUUCAUAACAAAUCUAUUUUGGUCCAAGGUUUUGUCCUAAGUUUUGUAGCCUUUUAAAAAAAAUCUACAAAUGAAUUAUGCUCUUGCACAACUGAUAAGAAACCAUAACCCUAUAACAAAGCUAAUAACAUCCUCAACAACCAUUGGGUAGAACUAUUGCUACUCUAAAAUUUACAUUUAUACAUUCAAUACAUAUCUGAUUUAUGCUCUGGUUCCCAUUAAAAACCCAAACUUUAUAUACAGACAUAAACUCAUUUCAUUGCAACUUCUUAUUCCAAUUAGAAUUUCACCAAGAAUUAUUCAUUAUAAAACUCACUUUUUUUCAGGUUAAUCAAAAUUGCUCAAACUUUCUAUCCAAAAAUCACCUGAAUCAAAUCUAAGCAAUUUG